GGCGCGACCGCUGGGCAAAGAGAGGAAGAAGCAGGUUUUUCUGGCUCUGAAUCUUCAACCAAGAGACCUGGUUGUGGGCCUCAGAGGUUGUCCCCUGCUUGCAGGGCUGGCAAAGACCAGCCGGGAACUAUUUUUGACUUUCCAGGCCAUGUGGCUUCUGCCACAACUGCUCAGCUUCGCCCCGAUGCCUUGAAAGCAGCGGUGGCCCAUAUGUAAAUGAAAUCAAGCUUUACUCCCGAAAACCAGCAGCAGGGCUGGAUGGGGCCUUUGGGUCACAGGGUGCUGCUGGCUCCUGUGCCAGUUGAUUGCUCUCAUGUCCUAGGACAGAAGGUCCCCCAUAGCAGUCCACGCGCUCUGACUGGUUCUUCCACUUGCCUCUGCUUCCGAAUACCCCAAGGAGCCUACGGAGAACACAGAUGCUUGGGACCCAGCCCAGACUUCCAAAUCAGAAUGUGCAGGGAUGGCCUGGGGUCUGGGCCCUAGGUGAUUCUGACCUGGGCCUGUUGUGACCUGGUCCAAGAUGCAGUCAAGGAGACAAGACCCUCCAACAUGAAGUGGCCCAAGGAAGCAACAGAUCUGUUCCUCUGCUGGCUUGCCUCUCAGGACAAUGGCACCCACACCCACUCGGUUGCCCAGAAACGGAAUCAUUCUGGUCCUCUUACUUGCUGGCCCUUUGACUUAGGGUCCGGGAUUUGACUGAGGAUCCGCACCAUUGUGCCCAAACCUGGCAAUGGCUCCAGAAGGAACGAACUCUUGGGACCAAUUUUACAGGGAGGAAACUGAGACCGAGUGGGGCAAAGUGAUUCUCCCAAGAUGAACGUUUGUGGAUGUCUGGCCUAGGAUCCUGAGAUUCACGGAGAAUUCUUUGGGCCUGUGUCCUCAUUGUCCACCCUUGGCAGUCUCAGUGUCAUACCUGAGCAGGGGCUGUGUACCAAAAGCACUGGCUGUGGUACAGCUUGUUGCCACGUAGCCUGGGGGCAAGACACACAUGGCCUCUCCCUGCACAGCCUGGCUGUCACCAGCACCAGGAGAGGAAGGACCGUGGAGCCCGCACCUGCAAAGUCACCCUAGAAGUCUCUGGAGCAAGGAACAAGACAGAGGCUGGGCAGAAGGCUUCAUCUCUUGGGGCACAGUGCUGACCCAGGCAGGGAAGGAGUCACGGCGUCGAGCCCUCGUGGCGUCGGACGUCUGGAGGCCACGGGAAUAGGCAAGAUCCAGUAGAAGAGUCGGAGAACCAGAAGCCAGACAGGAGCGGGAGGAGAAGCCGGAGCGAGCGGCCCCCCUGACCGAGUGGAGGGCAUGUUUGAUCAGGAGGCCGAUGCUCUGCGUCUGAUGACUGUGUAGGUUUUAUGGACAGGACUCAAAAGUGAGCAUCGGUUACCAGUGACCGUGACAACUGCCGUGGAGCCAUGGUGGGGGCGAGAAUGCCAGAAUAGAAUGGCUUCAAGGCAGAACGAGGGGAGAGCGGCCGGGGACAGGGCACGGAGACGCCUCUUUGUAGGAGUUUGGCUAUACACGGAGAGUAGGAUGAUGGGGAUGAUGGCUGGAAGGAGACGUCAGGUAACAAGGUUUGAUUUUUAGCAGAACGUUGAUGGUAAGCGUCUGAGCAACACUUUCUACUGGACAAACGCUGUUCUAAGAACCUCGUAUACAUUAGCUCACUUCACCAACGUGAGGCGUUCCCGUGUCCUCUCAUCGGCGUGCGGAUGAGGACGCUGAGCCACACAGACGAGAGCAGAGGUGAUGGUGAUUCUGUUUGGAAAGACUGGCAACUGGCAAUGGAACCUGGGCAACUAGAAAGAAUGCUAAAUGCAAAAAUCCUGGAGGAGCCUGAGAAGGGAAGCCUGAGAGAAGACCCCAAACAGACACAAGUGAGCUGCAUGAUGCCAUCUGUCUCAGUCUGCUGGAUCUGCCAUAACAAAAUACCACAGACCUAGUGGCUUCAACAACAGAAACGUGUUUUCCCACAGUUCCGGAGGCUAGAAAUCCAAGAUCAAGUUGCCAGCCUGGUCAUUUUCGGGGAGACUGACAGCCACAAGCAACCUAACGAGAUUGCUGCUCUGCUCCUUCUCUUAGCAGACAGAGCAUCUCACAGACUGAAAAUCGAGAGGCGCCUCGGGGAAAGGAGGCAGGAGCAAACGGCACCAUUUACCAACUAGUCACAGGAUGAGGAAAUGCAGCUUGGAAGCAGUUUUCCAUGAUGAGACUCAGGCAUCUGAGUGGACGCAGGAUUCUUUCUGUUAUCAGGGUCCUGCAGCUGUAAAGAGCCUCAGAAGGAGAGAGGAGGGCUGCCGUCGGAUGGAGGUUCAGCAUAGCCCCACAGGGCAGAUCUGGAGCAGAGGGGGACAUCCAACCAACUAUUGAGGCAAAGUCCAAGAUGGAACAACCGCAUGAGAGGUAGGGUGCCACCCGUCUCAGCGACACCCCAGCCGGGGGCCGGAUGACCUCGCUGGCCCAGUGAUGGUCAUCCAUCCACAGGCGUCAGGGCCCCUUCUGGCCUCAGACUCUUAGAUGCAGGGGUUCCCUCCUGGCGGCCCUGAGCUCAAGGCCUGGGUGGAGGCCGGUGGGAGGUGAAGGCAGCAUAGCUGCCAUGGAUCCUCGUGGGUGCACGGAAAGCCCAUGGCCUGCUGCGGACCCCGGCAGGCACAGCCACCAGGUAGCCCCUCUGGAUUCUCCCUCUGUCUGGAGGAGCCUGUGGCCCCUGAGAAUGGACAUCCCUGAAGGGCGGAGGCCGGCUUCCUGGCCAGACUACCUAGCAGUGGGGAGCAGACCUCAGGUUCCAAAAAGCUCAAAUUCCGUGAAGUGUGUGCUCAGCAUCUAAACUGGCAGCAAGACUCUGCCUCACGGCCGUCACUGCCUUGCUGGACCACGGGGCAAGCGCCAUCCUUUCUCCGGCCCUCAGCUUCCUGCUCCGUACAGUGCAAUUCAUGCGGGCGGUUCCUCCUACUCUGAUCUGCUACAACCUUCUGGAAAAUUCUGCCUGCUGUAGCUUCCAGAGCCCAUCAGAAUAAUGAAAGCCUGGCUGAUGCAGAGGAAGUGCAACAUUAGAGUGACCUUUCACUGCAUCUCCCUGGACAGGCUUUUAGGCCGCAGAACCGGGGGGAGCAAGCAGGGGAGCUGCAGCCUGCCGCCAGUCUGUGCCGGGCACCUCUGCUGCCCUGGGCUUGGAGUCCAACCGAGUGCUUCAGGCGCCCAGGGGCCAGGUCCAUCUGGAGCUCCAGACAGCCUUCUCCCUCCCUGGCUUCUCCGGCUGCCACUGGGCUGCGCCAGGCCGAGGCUUGGUCCUGAGCAGUGUGGGUUGGCAAGAAGGAGGGGAGUCUGGGGUGGGGGCAGCUGAGGGCCGCAGCUCACUGUCAGGAGGGGGGAGAAGAAAGAGGCAGGGCAUGCAAAAAUCCACACCCCACGUCCACGAUGCAGAACAAAGACCACGGGUCCAGUGCUGAUUUGGUGGCCCUGAAGCCUGUGUAUUUGUCAAGACACACUGAGUUACGCUGAGCUAGCCCAUCUCAGUGGCUUAUGGGUUUAUUUCUGGCUCAUAUGUCAGGCCCUCCGGGGGCUGGUAAAGGGCUGUGCUCCACAGAUUCCCUUAGAGACCCAGGCUGGUGAAGGCCCAUCAUCUAGUGAGCCAGAGACCCUCGGGACAGGUAGCUUCAGGGCUCACCAACAAAGGGGAGAGACAGUGCCAAGAGCAUGCCUGUUCCUACAUGUCCUACACUAAAGGCAACAAGGGUCACUUCUGCUCACUACCAACUGGCCAGUAGUCACUGGCUACAAGGGGCAGGGGCGUCCUCCUUGUCCCUGAAAGGGAGAGGUGAGUACCACUGAGCGACACCCACAGCGGUGCCAAGUAUGGAGGCUUCCUAUUGCCAGGUGGGGCGCAGGAUGCUGUACACGAACAAUUUCACUUACUUCUCAGGUAGGGACUCUUAUCAUUAUCCCCAUUUUCCAGAUGGGUAAACCGAGGCACAGAGAAGGGAUUUCCUGAUGUCGUACACCCCGAAUAUGCCAGGGAUGAGAUUUGAACUCCAUUCUGGUCAAACCCAAGUUCUCAAACGUCCAAACCCAAGUUCUCAAAGUCCCAGUCCGAUAGGGGAGGCAUGGGGUUCCUGACAGAUCGUAACAGUUCCCAGUGGGCAGCAGAGACACCUCCCUCAGGUGGGGUGCAAGGUGGGACCGCACCCCCUACCCCAGAGAUACGGAAUGUAGAGAAGCCUGACUGCUUAGGGGCAGGGCUGUCUCAGGGUAUAAAGUCAGACUGCGAAGUCCCGGCUCGUUCCUGCCAGGCUGUCAGGUUUGAUUGAGGUCAAGGCCACCUGGCACAGAGCUGUGGGUGGGCUUCCUGCCCUGGUCACGGCUGGCCCAGGGAUGGGGGUCUGGGGGGAGCUCUGACUGGCACGGGCUGGCAACUGAGGCAGGAAGCUGAUAGUUCCGCACGGCGGGAAGCCUCUAGAUGGAAGUUUGGAGAGUCCUGGGUCCAGCGGGGGAGGCUUCCGUAGUCCCCUUCCCUGGCACAGCACGCUCUGGGGCCUGCGGCCACCAGCAGGACUCCUGACGCUUUCUGGACCCCGGGUUCCACGUCUUCUGGAAUUCCACAGCUGAGCCCGAUGAAAAAGCAAGGUGAGGCCAGUUUCUGCAUUAGGGAGCAUUUCUAUCAGAAUAAAAGGAGCUGGAAAAAAGCGAAUACCAGGCAGAGAUGGGGAAAACUGUGCCUUUUAAGGCUGAAGCUAUGAAAAGUCCACUUAGGAACAGGGUGGCUGGCCGCGCCUCGCGCUCCUGCCAGGAUUCCUCCCGGCUUCCCUGUGCUCUUGGCCGGCAGCGCUGGCCUUUGACUUCGCCCGGCGCUCGGUGCAGCUUUAGGGGGCUCCUGGCCACUUUACGCGCGGAGCUUGGCGAGCGCCCGUCUAUCUGCACGGAUCUCACAGUGUGUCGGGGGUCACUUCCAGAGACUGGUCCUAUUUCAUGGUUUGCGUGGACUUUGCCAUAUUGGAAACUGCUGCCUGUGGAGGAACCAUUAAAAACAAAUGUUCUGUGUUUGCAGUUUCUCUCACCUGCCAAGAGGUUUCCUUGAUGGCGCUGGUCCAGGAAACCAUGGCAGAUGAAGAUUAGAUUAGAAUAAAUUGAUUUAGAAGUGACACCAGGCUCCUUGGGAGAGGCUUAAAUAUUUCAUACAUGUGUAUGACACCGACUUCAGCUGGGCGCCCCGGGAAGUGGGCAGGAGAUGGAAAUCUUACACCUACAUUCAAUGCCACCUGGCGUGUGGCCGACGGAGGCCAUGGGACUUGGGCUGGUCCCAAGCUGCACGACCCUUCAGCCUCAGCUUCCGUAGCUGUAAAAUGGGAACAAAGUGUGCUUAUGUCUAACCUCCUAGAGUUUUUUUUGUGUGUGUGUGGAGGGGGGGUCCUCAAAUCAGCCUGGAUCGGAGGCCCUUCCCGGAUUCCCAGGGGUUGUGGGUGGUGUCUGGGGGCGGAGGGCAGAGUGGGGUCCAAGUGGGUACUGAAGCUGCCUGGGCUCCGUAAACCAGAUUCUCGGAGGCCCAGAUUCUUAUCGCCUUAAAGGGAAAUCGUCUUCACGAACCAAUUUCCUAGAGUGUGUGAGGUCCGUUUUCGACGUUUUGCCCCAUCAGGGAGAAGAAUUUUAUUUUUUAAAAAGAUUUUAUUUAUUUAUUCGUGAGAGACCCAGAGAGAGGGGCAGAGACACAGGCAGAGGGAGAAGCAGGCUCCAUUCAGGGAGCCCAAUGCG